GUCUGAGAGGAAUAAAUUCAGUAAACUUUCGUUCUUCUGAUGUAAAAUUCAUGAAGAAAGCUUCUGGAGACCUGAACUGAAGAGAC